GAAAUGGUAUGGAGAGUUCUAAACAUCCAUUUAAUAACAUAUCUGUCUGUUAAAUCUUCAUUUGCUAUGUUUUCCUUUUUCUUAAAUUUUGUGUGUAUUUAUUUAUUUUCAAAGUCAGCCUGUUGUCAUCUCCAUGAUCCAAUGUUGUGCCAUUUUCAAUCUUAUUUUAAAAUUUUGAUGCAGGGAAUAGUGGUGAGUAAAUUCUUUAACUUUCUGCAAGGAACCGU
rnacentral:lncRNA from 1 species